rnacentral:rRNA from 1 species
GGCCCUAUGGGUUGUAAACUGCUUUUAUACACCAAGAAAAACCCCGACGUGUCGGGACUCGACGGUAGUGUAUGAAUAAGCAUCGGCUAACUCCGUGCCAGCAGCCGCGGUAAUACGGAGGAUGCAAGCGUUAUCCGGAUUCAUUGGGUUUAAAGGGUGCGUAGGCGGCCUUUUAAGUCAGUGGUGAAAUCCUGCCGCUUAACGGUAGAAUUGCCAUUGAUACUGAAGGGCUUGAGUACAUUUGAGGUAAGCGGAAUGUGUAGUGUAGCGGUGAAAUGCUUAGAUAUUACACAGAACACCAAUUGCGAAGGCAGCUUACUAAACUGUUACUGACGCUGAUGCACGAAAGCGUGGGGAGCGAACAGGAUUAGAUACCCUGGUAGUCCACGCCGUAAACGAUGCUCACUCGC